GGACCUGUAGCUCAGUUGGUCAGAGCACUCGGCUCAUAACCGAUAGGUCGGAGGUUCGAAUCCUCCCAGGUCCACCA
rnacentral:tRNA from 1 species